GAAACUGUCUAAUUUUGGGACCCUCCCCUCCCCUUGCAUCAUGGCAACAAUGUGUUGUUUAAUUAUUAUUAUUAUUAUUAUUUCUCUCUUUUCCAUAUUUAUAUAUCUAUAUGAAUGUGGCAGACAAAGGAGCCGCCAAAAAAAAAAAAAGAAAGAUCUGUGAGUGACUAAGAGAUGCUGAGCAUCAUGCGACCAAGCAACAACCAGGUAAAAGUCUCAUUUGUGUGCAUGUUGCACAUGGUUUCCCCAAACUUUUUCCCCCAUUUUUGCAGGGAAUUGUCUGGCACAAGUUCUAAGAUGAACCCUAUUUCUAAGAGGAUAUGGGCAAUUCCAUUAAAAUCUCAACUUUUUGAGAAAAAUAUCAGUUUUUUUUUUUUUUUCUAAUUCUUUGAAUAAGAGAUACAUAUUAUUUUUAUUAUUAAUUUGAAUGUUAAGUCGUCGACAUAUACAAUUUGACAUGGAAAUUGCUGGCUGGCAGGAGUGAUGGGGAUGGAUGUUGC
rnacentral:lncRNA from 1 species